rnacentral:tRNA from 1 species
CGAUCCGUAGCUCAAUUGGUGAAAGCACCGCCCUGUCACGGCGGAAGAUGCGGGUUCGAAUCCCGUCGGAUCGA